rnacentral:rRNA from 1 species
UCCCCCGGUUAAUAACCCGUGGACGAUGACAUUAGCUGCAGAAUAAGCACCCGGCUAACUCUGUGCCAGCAGCCGCGGUAAUACAGAGGGUGCAAGCGUUAAUCGGAAUUACUGGGCGUAAAGCGAGCGUAGGUGGCUUGAUAAGUCAGAUGUGAAAUCCCCGGGCUUAACCUGGGAACUGCAUCUGAAACUGUUAGGCUAGAGUAGGUGAGAGGAAGGUAGAAUUCCAGGUGUAGCGGUGAAAUGCGUAGAGAUCUGGAGGAAUACCGAUGGCGAAGGCAGCCUUCUGGCAUCAUACUGACACUGAGGCUCGAAAGCGUGGGUAGCAAACAGGAUUAGAUACCCUGGUAGUCCACGCCGUAAACGAUGUCUACUAGUCGUUGGGUCCCUUGAGGACUUAGUGACGCAGCUAACGCAAUAAGUAGACCGCCUGGGGAGUACGGCCACAAGGUUAAAACUCAAAUGAAUUGACGGGGGCCCGCACAAGCGGUGGAGCAUGUGGUUCAAUUCGAUGCAACGCGAAGAACCUUACCUGGUCUUGACAUAUCUAGAAUCCUGCAGAGAUGCGGGAGUGCCUUCGGGAAUUAGAAUACAGGUGCUGCAUGGCUGUCGUCAGCUCGUGUCGUGAGAUGUUGGGUUAAGUCCCGCAACGAGCGCAACCCUUGUCCUUAGUUACCAGCGGGUUAAGCCGGGAACUCUAAGGAUACUGCCAGUGACAAACUGGAGGAAGGCGGGGACGACGUCAAGUCAUCAUGGCCCUUACGACCAGGGCUACACACGUGCUACAAUGGUAGGUACAGAGGGCAGCUACACAGCGAUGUGGUGCGAAUCUAAAAAAGCCUAUCGUAGUCCAGAUUGGAGUCUGCAACUCGACUCCAUGAAGUAGGAAUCGCUAGUAAUCGCGGAUCAGAAUGCCGCGGUGAAUACGUUCCCGGGCCUUGCACACACCGCCCGUC